GGAUAUGAGGGCAAUCUGGCUGCGACAUCUGUCAUCCCAUUGAUCUCCAGGGUUGAUUCAGCUGAUCUGGCUGGCUAGGCAGGUGUCCCCUUUCUCCUUCACCGCUCCAUCUGCGUCCUUCCUGAAGCUGCGCGCUCCAUCGAAGAGGACGACCCUCCCUGAUAGAGGAGGACUGGGCUUUGGUCAAGGGUGUAUGAAUCGCUGUGCUCCCCUGCUAGAACCUCCAGACGGGCACUAAAAUCACUGGGGCUCUAUAUUCAAACACCAACUGCCCUGGUCCUGGGCCAGUUGUCUUCUAAGCCAUUCCAGGCCUGCCCUUUGCU
ensembl:misc_RNA 7SK 7SK RNA